CAAAAAGUAUUAUGGGUUCCCAGAAAUCGUCACUUUUCUUCGACAAUAACAUUGCCAUGAUCAAACCAAGUGUGAAUCCAAUAAAUAUUUGUAUUCCUUUUUCUUUUUUUUUUUUUUUUUUUUUUUUUUUUUUUUUUUUUUUUUUUUUUUUUUUUUUUUUUUUUUUUUUUUUUUUUUUUUUUUUUUUUUUUUUUUUUUUUU
rnacentral:lncRNA from 1 species